GAAGCUGACAUUUCUUGAAGUGUUGAAUCUUUCGGAAAACAAUCUUGUUGGACCAAUUCCCCAUGGGAAUCAAUUUAAUACCUUCGAUAAUGAUUCCUACAGCAGUAACAUUGGAUUAUGUGGCCCUCCAUUGUCCAAGCAAUGCAUCAACCAUGGGGAGGCCAAACCGCAUGCACCAUUGUCGGUGAAACAUAAAGGUUCUGGAGUACCCUUUAUUUGGCAAGUUGUAAUGAUGGGAUAUGGAAGUGGAGUGGUGCUAGGAUUGAGCUUAGGAUACAUUGUAUUCACAAUGAAAAGGCCAUGGUGGUUUAUUAGAAUGGUGGAGAGAGAUUGGCAAUACAAUUUCACUAAUUGGAUCCGAAGAAAAAGAGGAAGAAGAAACUAGCUAUACAUCCAACACCAUGUAAGAUGGCAUUGGAACUUGGAACUGAAUCCGAAGGGGAGAUACAGCUAGAUCAGUAUCCUUGGAAGCGAACUGAAUUAAACAGUGGGGGAGUGUUUUUAAAUUAAGCAAAUAGCUAUAUUUACUUGUUCAUGGUUUUUGUGUUGUGUAAUUUUAAAACUAGUGCUGAAUAAAAUUAAACUGCUAAGCAAAAAUAUUACUUCAUUCCAA